GGUGAGUAACACGUGGAUAACCUACCUAUAAGACUGGGAUAACUUCGGGAAACCGGAGCUAAUACCGGAUAAUAUUUUGAACCGCAUGGUUCAAAAGUGAAAGACGGUCUUGCUGUCACUUAUAGAUGGAUCCGCUCUGCAUUAGCUAGUUGGUAAGGUAACGGCUUACCAAGGCAACGAUGCAUAGCCGACCUGAGAGGGUGAUCGGCCACACUGGAACUGAGACACGGUCCAG
rnacentral:rRNA from 1 species